rnacentral:rRNA from 1 species
GUGGGGAAUCUUCCGCAAUGGACGAAAGUCUGACGGAGCAACGCCGCGUGAGUGAAGAAGGUUUUCGGAUCGUAAAGCUCUUUCGUUAGGGACGAACGUGCUCUUUGUGAAUAAUGAGGAGUAAUGACGGUACCUAAAUAAGAAGCCACGGCUAACUACGUGCCAGCAGCCGCGGUAAUACGUAGGUGGCAAGCGUUGUCCGGAAUUAUUGGGCGUAAAGCGCGCGCAGGCGGGAUAUCAAGUCUGUCUUAAAAGUGCGAGGCUCAACCUCGUGAGGGGACAGAAACUGGUAUUCUUGAGUGUCGGAGAGGUAAGUGGAAUUCCAAGUGUAGCGGUGAAAUGCGUAGAGAUUUGGAAGAACACCAGUGGCGAAGGCGACUUUCUGGACGAUGUCUGACGCUGAGGCGCGAAAGCUAGGGGAGCGAACGGGAUUAGAAACCCUAGUAGUCC